CUACGGGAUGCUCCAGUCGAGAAUCUUUGGCAAUGAGCGAAAGCUUGACCAUGCGACGCCGCGUGAGGGAUGAAGGUCUUCGGAUUGUAAACCUCUGUCACGGGGGAGGAACAGUAGUAAAGUGAAUAGUUUUACUAUUUGACAGUACCCUGUAAGGAAGCCACGGCCAACUCCGUGCCAGCAGCCGCGGUAAUACGGAGGUGGCAAGCGUUGUUCGGAAUUACUGGGUGUAAAGAGCGUGUAGGCGUUUUAGUAAGUCGGGGGUGAAAUCCCUCGGCUCAACCUAGGAACUGCCUCCGAUACUGCUAAAAUUGAGUUUGGGAUAGGAGAGUGGAAUUUCCGGUGUAAGGGUGAAAUCUGUAGAUAUCGGAAAGAACACCAGUGGCGAAGGCGACUCUCUGGCCCAAAACUGACGCUGAGACGCGAAAGCUAGGGGAGCGAACAGGAUUAGAUACCCCCGUAGUC
rnacentral:rRNA from 1 species